CAUGACGUCAUUGAUGUCCAUACCAUUCACCACGUUUAAACCCACCAUGGUUAAAUAGGUGUGAUUGAUUUGUUAUCAAUUUUUUUUUUUUGAAGUUAAUUAAGUAAAUAAUAUAUAUUAUCUGGUACCGAUAAAAUAAAUAUUACUGUGAUAACUAUAAUGAUAUUUCAACCACAAUCACGGUUAAAAAUAAUGAUAUGAAAUUAUCUUUAAUCUUUUAUGAUGUCAUCACCGAUCAUCACACACCAUCACAGCAAAUUUAGGACCAUGUGGAAUGUAAUACGUGUUCCUAUAAAAAAAAAAAGCAAAAGAUAACAAAAUAUUAAACGGGGUCUUAAUAUUAACAUAAUGUGUAUUUGAUUCUGAGCGAAGUGAAGAAUGUAUUGGUUUUAGAAUAAUGUUUAUUUUUUUUUCCUUUUGUGUUUACAUGAACACUUUUUCUACCAGAAUACUCCGAUAUUCAAGUAUAGCACCUUUUCU